rnacentral:rRNA from 1 species
GAGUUUGAUCAUGGCUCAGGGUGAACGCUGGCGGCGUGCUUAAGACAUGCAAGUCGAACGCAGCUUUCGGGCUGAGUGGCGCACGGGUGAGUAAUGCGUAACUGACCUACCCCGAAGUCUGGAAUAACUGGUCGAAAGAUCAGCUAAUACCGGAUAGCCACAUGACUCUUGAGUCAUGUGGAAAGAUUUAUUGCUUUGGGAUGGGGUUACGUUCCAUCAGCUGGUUGGUGAGGUAAAGGCUUACCAAGGCGACGACGGAUAGCCGGCCUGAGAGGGUGGCCGGCCACAGGGGCACUGAGACACGGGCCCCACUCCUACGGGACGCAGCAGA